rnacentral:rRNA from 1 species
CUACGGGGGGCAGCAGUGGGGAAUCUUGCACAAUGGACGAAAGUCUGAUGCAGCGAUCCCGCGUGGAGGACGACGCCCUAUGGGGUGUAAACUCCUUUUCUGGUGGAAGAAGAAUGACGGUACACCAGGAAUAAGAGACGGCUAACUACGUGCCAGCAGCCGCGGUAAUACGUAGGUCUCGAGCGUUAUCCGGAUUUACUGGGCGUAAAGCGUCCGUAGCCUGAUGAAUAAGUCUGUUUUCAAAUACUGUGGCUCAACCAUAGGAAGGGGAUGGAUACUGUUUAUCUAGAGACUGUUAGGGGUUAGUGGAAUUUCAGGUGGAGCGGUGAAAUGUGUUGAUAUCUGAAAGAAUGCCGAAAGCGAAAGCAGCUAACUAUAAUAAGUCUGACGGUGAUGGACGAAAGCUUGGGGAGCGAACGGGAUUAGAUACCCCAGUAGUC